rnacentral:rRNA from 1 species
GGCCAGACUCCUACGGGAGGCAGCAGUGAGGAAUAUUGGUCAAUGGGCGAGAGCCUGAACCAGCCAAGUCGCGUGAGGGAGUACUGCCCUAUGGGUUGUAAACCUCUUUUGUCGGGGAGCAAAAGCCGGACGUGUCCGGCUGUGAGAGUACCCGAAGAAAAAGCAUCGGCUAACUCCGUGCCAGCAGCCGCGGUAAUACGUAGGGGGCGAGCGUUAUCCGGAUUUACUGGGUGUAAAGGGAGCGUAGACGGUUCUGCAAGUCUGAAGUGAAAGCCCGUGGCUUAACCGCGGAACGGCUUUGGAAACUGUGGAACUGGAGUGCUGGAGAGGCAAGCGGAAUUCCUAGUGUAGCGGUGAAAUGCGUAGAUAUUAGGAGGAACACCAGUGGCGAAGGCGGCUUGCUGGACAGUAACUGACGUUGAGGCUCGAAAGCGUGGGGAGCAAACAGGAUUAGAUACCCCGGUA